rnacentral:lncRNA from 1 species
UCUCGCUCUGUAUCUCUCUCUCUCUCCCUGUAUCUCUCUCUUGCUCUCUCUCUCUCUCUCUCUCUCUCUGUAUCUCUCUCUCUCUCCCUGUAUCUCUCUCUUGCUCUCUCUCUCUCUCUCCCUGUAUCUUUCUCACUCUGUAUUUCUCUCUCUCUCUCUCUGUAUCUCUCUCUCUCUCCCUGUAUCUUUCUCACUCUUGCUCUCUCUCUCUCCCUGUAUCUCUCUCUCUAUAUCUCUCUCUCUCUCUCCCUGUAUCUCUCUCUCUGUAUCUCUCUCUCUCCCUGUAUCUCUCUCUCUGUAUCUCUCUCUCUCUCCCUGUAUCUCUCUCUCUGUAUCUCUCUCUCUCCCUGUAUCUCUCUCUCUGUAUCUCUCUCUCUCUCCCUGUAUCUUUCUCGCUCUGUCUCUCUCUCUCUCCCUGUAUCUCUCUCUCUGUAUCUCUCUCUCUCUCUCCCUGUAUCUUUAUCACUCUGUAUCUCUCUCUCUCCCUGUAUCUCUCUCUCUGUAUCUCUCUCUCUCCCUGUAUCUCUCUCUCUGUAUCUCUCUCUCUGUAUCUCUCUCUCUCCCUGUAUCUUUAUCACUCUGUAUCUCUCUCUCUCUGUAUCUUUCUUUGCUCUGUAUCUCUCUCUCUCUCCCUUUAUCUUUCUCACUCUGUAUUUCUCUCUCUCUCCCUGUAUCUUUCUCGCUCUGUCUCUCUCUCUCUGUCUCUCUCUCUCUGUCUGUGUCUCUCUCUGUAUCUCUCUCUCUCUCCCUGUAUCUUUCUCACUCUGUAUCUCUCUCUCUCCCUGUAUCUUUCUCACUCUGUAUUUCUCUCUCUCUCUCUCCCUGUAUCUUUCUCGCUCUGUCUCUCUCUCUCUGUCUGUGUCUCUCUCUGUCUCUCUCUCUCUCUCUCUGUAUCUCUCUCACUUCACUUUAGUACAUUCUGUGUCAUUGUUGAUCCUUUAUUAUUUUACUAUUAUGAUGAGUACUAAUACUAUACUGUGUAGCAGUGUUGGUAACAGGUAA